rnacentral:rRNA from 1 species
GCUAAACAGCUAGCUUAACCACCUAAAUAACAAACACACCAUUAAAAUAUCUAACAUAAACCCCAACCUAAUUAAACCAAAACAUUCUACCGCCCUAGUAUGGGAGACAGAAAAGGCACAACCCCUAAAGCAAUAACAAAAGUACCGCAAGGGAACGCUGAAAGAGAAAUGAAAUAAAUCAUUAAAGCACAACAAAGCAGAGACUAACCCUCGUACCUUUUGCAUCAUGAUUUAGCCAGUACUGUUGAGCAAAGAGUACUUUAGUUCAAGCCCCCGAAACUAAGUGAGCUACCCCGGGACAGCCUAUAAAUUAGGGCCAACCCGUCUCUGUGGCAAAAGAGUGGGAAGAUCCCCGGGUAGAGGUGACAGACCUACCGAACUUAGUUAUAGCUGGUUGCCUAAGAAAUGAAUAGAAGUUCAGCCUGCACUCCUCUACUCACGCCUUAAAACACGAGUCAGAGUAAUAUGCAAGAGUUAAUCAAAGGAGGUACAGCUCCUAUGAAACAGGACACAACCUUAUCAGGAGGUUAAAGAUUAUACUAACCAAGAUACACCGCUUCAGUGGGCCUAAAAGCAGCCACCAAAAUAGAAAGCGUUAAAGCUCAAGCAGAAUAAAAAUCUAUUAUUCAAAUAUAAAAUCUAAAACCCCUAAUUAUACUAGGCCGCCCUAUGCACACAUAGAAGAGAUGCUGCUAAAAUGAGUAAUAAGAAGGGAACCCCCUUCUCCCCGGCCUACGUGUAAGCUAGAUCGAACCCCCACUAGUAAUUAUCGAACCCAAUACAAGAGGGCAAUGUGUUUACAUAAGACAUCAAGAAAACCCCACACAACAAAAUCGUUAACCCCACACCGGAAGGCCACAAAAUAAGGAAAGACUAAAAGAAAAGGAAGGAACUCGGCAAACACAAGCCUCGCCUGUUUACCAAAAACAUCGCCUCCUGCAAAAAUCAACGUAUAGGAGGUCUUACCUGCCCAGUGACAAGUUUAACGGCCGCGGUAUUUUGACCGUGCAAAGGUAGCGCAAUCACUUGUCUUUUAAAUGAAGACCUGUAUGAAUGGUAGAACGAGGGCUUAACUGUCUCCCCUUUCAAGUCAAUGAAAUUGAUCUGCCCGUGCAGAA